GAUGAACGCUGGCGGCGUGCCUAAUACACGCAAGUCGAGCGAACGGACGAGAAGCUUGCUUUUCUGAUGUUAGCGGCGGACGGGUGAGUAACACGUGGAUAACCUACCUAUAAGACUGGGAUAACUUCGGGAAACCGGAGCUAAUACCGGAUAAUAUUUUGAACCGCAUGGUUCAAAAGUGAAAGACGGUCUUGCUGUCACUUAUAGAUGGAUCCGCGCUGCAUUAGCUAGUUGGUAAGGUAACGGCUUACCAAGGCGACGAUGCAUAGCCGACCUGAGAGGGUGAUCGGCCACACUGGGACUGAGACACGGUCCAGACUCCUACGGGAGGCAGCAGUAGGGAAUCUUCCGCAAUGGGCGAAAGCCUGACGGAGCAACGCCGCGUGAGUGAUGAAGGUCUUCGGAUCGUAAAACUCUGUUAUUAGGGAAGAACAUAUGUGUAAGUAACUGUGCACAUCUUGACGGUACCUAAUCAGAAAGCCACGGCUAACUACGUG
rnacentral:rRNA from 1 species